GGGUUGUGAGGUUAAGCGACUAAGCGUACACGGUGGAUGCCCUGGCAGUCAGAGGCGAUGAAGGACGUGCUAAUCUGCGAUAAGCGUCGGUAAGGUGAUAUGAACCGUUAUAACCGGCGAUUUCCGAAUGGGGAAACCCAGUGUGUUUCGACACACUAUCAUUAACUGAAUCCAUAGGUUAAUGAGGCGAACCGGGGGAACUGAAACAUCUAAGUACCCCGAGGAAAAGAAAUCAACCGAGAUUCCCCCAGUAGCGGCGAGCGAACGGGGAGCAGCCCAGAGCCUGAAUCAGUAUGUGUGUUAGUGGAAGCGUCUGGAAAGGCGCGCGAUACAGGGUGACAGCCCCGUACACAAAAAUGCACAUAUUGUGAGCUCGAUGAGUAGGGCGGGACACGUGGUAUCCUGUCUGAAUAUGGGGGGACCAUCCUCCAAGGCUAAAUACUCCUGACUGACCGAUAGUGAACCAGUACCGUGAGGGAAAGGCGAAAAGAACCCCGGCGAGGGGAGUGAAAAAGAACCUGAAACCGUGUACGUACAAGCAGUGGGAGCACGCUUAGGCGUGUGACUGCGUACCUUUUGUAUAAUGGGUCAGCGACUUAUAUUCUGUAGCAAGGUUAACCGAAUAGGGGAGCCGAAGGGAAACCGAGUCUUAACUGGGCGUUAAGUUGCAGGGUAUAGACCCGAAACCCGGUGAUCUAGCCAUGGGCAGGUUGAAGGUUGGGUAACACUAACUGGAGGACCGAACCGACUAAUGUUGAAAAAUUAGCGGAUGACUUGUGGCUGGGGGUGAAAGGCCAAUCAAACCGGGAGAUAGCUGGUUCUCCCCGAAAGCUAUUUAGGUAGCGCCUCGUGAAUUCAUCUCCGGGGGUAGAGCACUGUUUCGGCAAGGGGGUCAUCCCGACUUACCAACCCGAUGCAAACUGCGAAUACCGGAGAAUGUUAUCACGGGAGACACACGGCGGGUGCUAACGUCCGUCGUGAAGAGGGAAACAACCCAGACCGCCAGCUAAGGUCCCAAAGUCAUGGUUAAGUGGGAAACGAUGUGGGAAGGCCCAGACAGCCAGGAUGUUGGCUUAGAAGCAGCCAUCAUUUAAAGAAAGCGUAAUAGCUCACUGGUCGAGUCGGCCUGCGCGGAAGAUGUAACGGGGCUAAACCAUGCACCGAAGCUGCGGCAGCGACGCUGAUGCGUUGUUGGGUAGGGGAGCGUUCUGUAAGCCUGCGAAGGUGUGCUGUGAGGCAUGCUGGAGGUAUCAGAAGUGCGAAUGCUGACAUAAGUAACGAUAAAGCGGGUGAAAAGCCCGCUCGCCGGAAGACCAAGGGUUCCUGUCCAACGUUAAUCGGGGCAGGGUGAGUCGACCCCUAAGGCGAGGCCGAAAGGCGUAGUCGAUGGGAAACAGGUUAAUAUUCCUGUACUUGGUGUUACUGCGAAGGGGGGACGGAGAAGGCUAUGUUGGCCGGGCGACGGUUGUCCCGGUUUAAGCGUGUAGGCUGGUUUUCCAGGCAAAUCCGGAAAAUCAAGGCUGAGGCGUGAUGACGAGGCACUACGGUGCUGAAGCAACAAAUGCCCUGCUUCCAGGAAAAGCCUCUAAGCAUCAGGUAACAUCAAAUCGUACCCCAAACCGACACAGGUGGUCAGGUAGAGAAUACCAAGGCGCUUGAGAGAACUCGGGUGAAGGAACUAGGCAAAAUGGUGCCGUAACUUCGGGAGAAGGCACGCUGAUAUGUAGGUGAAGUCCCUCGCGGAUGGAGCUGAAAUCAGUCGAAGAUACCAGCUGGCUGCAACUGUUUAUUAAAAACACAGCACUGUGCAAACACGAAAGUGGACGUAUACGGUGUGACGCCUGCCCGGUGCCGGAAGGUUAAUUGAUGGGGUUAGCCGCAAGGCGAAGCUCUUGAUCGAAGCCCCGGUAAACGGCGGCCGUAACUAUAACGGUCCUAAGGUAGCGAAAUUCCUUGUCGGGUAAGUUCCGACCUGCACGAAUGGCGUAAUGAUGGCCAGGCUGUCUCCACCCGAGACUCAGUGAAAUUGAACUCGCUGUGAAGAUGCAGUGUACCCGCGGCAAGACGGAAAGACCCCGUGAACCUUUACUAUAGCUUGACACUGAACAUUGAGCCUUGAUGUGUAGGAUAGGUGGGAGGCUUAGAAGUGUGGACGCCAGUCUGCAUGGAGCCGACCUUGAAAUACCACCCUUUAAUGUUUGAUGUUCUAACGUUGACCCGUAAUCCGGGUUGCGGACAGUGUCUGGUGGGUAGUUUGACUGGGGCGGUCUCCUCCUAAAGAGUAACGGAGGAGCACGAAGGUUGGCUAAUCCUGGUCGGACAUCAGGAGGUUAGUGCAAUGGCAUAAGCCAGCUUGACUGCGAGCGUGACGGCGCGAGCAGGUGCGAAAGCAGGUCAUAGUGAUCCGGUGGUUCUGAAUGGAAGGGCCAUCGCUCAACGGAUAAAAGGUACUCCGGGGAUAACAGGCUGAUACCGCCCAAGAGUUCAUAUCGACGGCGGUGUUUGGCACCUCGAUGUCGGCUCAUCACAUCCUGGGGCUGAAGUAGGUCCCAAGGGUAUGGCUGUUCGCCAUUUAAAGUGGUACGCGAGCUGGGUUUAGAACGUCGUGAGACAGUUCGGUCCCUAUCUGCCGUGGGCGCUGGAGAACUGAGGGGGGCUGCUCCUAGUACGAGAGGACCGGAGUGGACGCAUCACUGGUGUUCGGGUUGUCAUGCCAAUGGCACUGCCCGGUAGCUAAAUGCGGAAGAGAUAAGUGCUGAAAGCAUCUAAGCACGAAACUUGCCCCGAGAUGAGUUCUCCCUGACUCCUUGAGAGUCCUGAAGGAACGUUGAAGACGACGACGUUGAUAGGCCGGGUGUGUAAGCGCAGCGAUGCGUUGAGCUAACCGGUACUAAUGAACCGUGAGGCUUAACCUUACAACGCCGAAGCUGUU
rnacentral:rRNA from 1 species